GUUUAUACCGAGUAGCAAGAAAGCCAGGCUGCAGAUGUGGCUCUGAGAAAACAAGACAAAGUCGCAUGGAGAGUGCUAGAGACUCCAUCUUUGGUUGUCCCUGAAGCCACACUUCCGUCUCCCGGUUUGGUGUUCAACAUUUCUUUUUAAAGUUAUUUUUCAAAAUUCCUUAUUAUGCAAAACUUAUGAGGUAGCUAUUUAGUAGGUUCUACAAAGCAUUCCAAAUGGAAUCAUGAGAGCACAUUGUGAGAAGGCAGCACCUCCUUGGAACAAUUCCAUUGGGCUACUAUGAAAAUGGAGACAUGGGAGUACAGAAAUUAAAAAAACAAACUCAAAAGAAAGACUAAAUGCAUAUGAUGGACAACUGAGUUAUUGACCUAAAAACUGACUGCUUAUUAAACUGUAUCUGGGUAUGUGUUUGGUAUUUCGGGAGUAUGGUUACCUUAAGAUAGAAAUUGUUAUUACUCAAGUUUGAAAAGUAUUGGAGAAUAUAGAGCCACCCCACAAAAGAAUGGAACAGAAAAGACAAAUAGUAAAAACUUGGAGGACAAAUAUACAAGAUCUAAUAUCUAUGAAAACAGACAUACAGGAGGAGAGAACGGUAGCUGAGGAAGGGAAAUAAAGAGCAAGAAGAUGAGCCAGGAGUCAGGGGAGGAGAAGAAAGGAGAGGAAGAGGAGGAGACAAUGUUGGUGUGAAACUAAAAGAAGGCAGUUUUUUCAGGCAAAGGAGCCCAUCAGGUGCACAACAGGAAAUGUGCCAAAGCCAUAUUUAGGGUACUUAAUGCAUUCUUUAGAAAGUAAUAAAAAUAGGAGGUUGCUGAAAGGAUUUGGUAAUGGAAAAAAAAGCAAACUAAAAAAAUAGAAAGAAGAACUUAACGAAUACAAAACUUCGAAUCAAUGAAACAAAAGACACAAGAUGGAUUGAUAAAGCCAAAAUAUAUUCUUUUGGAAAGACUUAAAAUGUUGGCAGUCUGGGAAAUUACAAAACAAAUAUACAGCAAGUAUACAAAGAACAAAAGAAUGAAUGAACUGCAGACGAAAUCUUAUCUGUGUUGA
rnacentral:lncRNA from 1 species